UACGGAGGGUGCAAGCGUUGUUCGGAAUCAUUGGGCGUAAAGCGCGUGUAGGCGGCCUGGUAAGUCGGGUGUGAAAUCCCGGGGCUCAACCCCGGAACUGCACUAGAAACUGCCUCGCUAGAGUCUCGGAGAGGAAGGCGGAAUUCCCGGUGUAGAGGUGAAAUUCGUAGAUAUCGGGAGGAACACCAGCGGCGAAGGCGGCCUUCUGGACGGUACUGACGCUGAGGAGCGAAAGCGUGGGUAGCAAACAGG
rnacentral:rRNA from 1 species